rnacentral:rRNA from 1 species
GACGAACGCUGGCGGCGUGCCUAAUACAUGCAAGUAGAACGCUGAAGCGAGGAGCUUGCUCUUCUUGCAUGAGUUGCGAACGGGUGAGUAACGCGUAGGUAACCUGCCUUGUAGCGGGGGAUAACUAUUGGAAACGAUAGCUAAUACCGCAUAACAUUGGAUGACACAUGUCAUUUUUGUGAAAGGCGCAAUUGCUGCACUACAUGGUGGACUUUGGGCGUAUUAGAUAGUUGGUGAGGUAAUGGCUCACCUAGGCGACGAUUCCUAGCCGAACUGAGAGGGUGAUCGGCCACACUGGAACUGAGCCACGGCCCAGACUCCUACGGGAGGCAGCAGUAGGGAAUCUUCGGCAAUGGGGGAACCCUGACCGAGCAACGCCGCGUGAGGGGAGAAGGUUUUCGGGUCGUAAAGCUCUGUUGUAGGUCGAGAACCGGUGUGAGAGUGGAAAGUUCACGCUGUGACGGUAGCUUACCAGAAAGCGACGGCUAACUACGUG